ensembl:processed_transcript Gm4675 predicted gene 4675
GAGCAGGGCGGCGGACAGAAACACAAACACUGCAGCGGCCCGUCUUCUGUGUCGGGGUCAGGGCGCGCUGAUGGAACCCCCAAUCCUGUAGUUCUGCUGAGGGCUGACGCUGUCCCCGGGCACCUGCCUGGAGAAUCUUGCUGCCGGGCUUUGGCACAGGAGAGGAGAGGAAGGAGGCGGGCUGAGGUUUUGAGUUAGCCUGAGUCGCCGGGCCUCAGUGGAGACUGUCCGGGUUCUCCGACUCGCUGCUGCAGGCUGUCCCCGGGGCCAUGCUUGCUCCGCUGGCUCCCAGCUUCCCCGGGCGCACUGAAGGUCUCGGGCUCCCGGAGCACUCCAGAAGCGGAGGGCUGCUCGGUGCGGCGCGGCCGGCCAGGCCCGGGCGCCUUCUCCCAGCUCCGGUCGCAGCAGCCAGACACUUGCAACUAACUUCUCCCAAGUUUCCGGCCCGGGCUCAGCCGCGCCCCUCUCGGUGAGCGCGCCUCCGAGCGUGCGCCCGCGUGGGUGCCGCGCCCGCGAGCCCCUGGGUCCCGGCUACUCCGGGCGCCGCAGGCUGGAAGGAUGCAGGGAUCCAGGUCCUGGAGGAGGACGGGGAUUAAAGAAAACGUGCUAUAUCACCUCAGAUCGCAGGUCUGCUCUGGGGCUGCUCCUGCUUUCCCAGCUCCGGGCCCAGGCUUUCGCUCCGCCGCUUCCGAGGCGACUGCAGCCCGGCUCAGGUUUAGGCGAGUGGAGUGUCCGCCGCGCGCCGCGGAGUCUGCGCACUGUUUGGAGCUUGGUGUCGCCGGCGGCUCCCCUGUUCUGCCCAGCGCUGCUGGUGCUCUGCUGGCUGCUCUUCCGGGAGGAUGAAAGCGGUACACCAGAGGAAAAGAGCUUCAGAAACUGGCGAGGAAGAGGGUUGAGCCUGGGGGUGGGAGUGGGGGAAGAGUCUUUGAAAGUGUUUGAGACUGUUCCGAAUGGCAAGAAAGUACUCAUUUUCCUUGGAGGGCCAGGUGUGACUCGCAACAGACGCCUCCGGCAGUUUCUUGCCUCAUGGUUGCACUCAGAGGUAGUGGAGUGGAAAGUAGCCCAGGAUGGACAGAACAUUUUUGGCAAGCCUUUGGAAAAGGAAUGAGCCUAGGUUGAGCCCGCAUCCCCUUCUGAAUACACAGCUUUUUUAAACAGUUGUCUUCUGUCUUGUUUUGCCUUCUUUUAAUUCUGGUCGUCAGAGCUAUCUCUGUGUUGUUUCUUUAACGUUUGCAGUCUCUCAACGAUAGGGCAAAGCUGCUUCAAAUCAAAAGCAUAAAUCAUUUCUCUAAAUAAAAAUUUUAAAAAUGUUCUACUCUGACAGUUUUUAUGCUGUUGAGCCAGUUUUCUUGCUUGGUAGUUAGAGCUAUUAUAAUUGACGCUAUACACAAUCAAAAAUCAAAUAGCACCCCCGAAUAUUCCUGGGGAACCCCCCUCCUCAGGGACUUUGUGUUUCAGGCAGAUUACUUGUCUUCCUUUGGCUGUUUGCAAGUAACACAUUCGUAUACACGGUUAGCUUUUUUAAAAAUGUCUUUUUGCAAUUUAUGUCCAGUUUGUACACACACGGGACCUUUGAACCAUUGAUUUGUAAUCAGGGCAUUAACAUGAAUUGGUUUGCACUCCUAUUUAUUUAAGAAUUGGGCUUGUUUUGUUGCUCAUUUAAAUUGAAGAAGGCGAUGGCUUUUGAAAUGUUUGUUGUGAUAACAGACAUGCCAGUCAGCAGUGGCAUGUUAAGUGGGUUUCUGUUUUCCUUAGCUGUCAUGUUUGUAAAUGCUUAUUUUGUAUUGUUUUUGCUCUCCUGUUGCUAAAACAAUUGAACUGAUUCCUCUAGAAUCAUAAUUCUUUACCUCACUUUUGUAGACACUGUCAUUCAGACUCUGGGUGGUGCGAUGCUAAGACUCUGGCAAGUGUAAUUACAUAGACUAGGAUAUUAAAUACACUGUUUCAUGAUGAUAAACUACAAAAUUACUGUCUCUGAGCUUUCAACCUACCAACUUGCAUAAUAGUUUUGAGACAAAAUAUUACCCACUGUCACACAAAGAACAUAUAUAUGGGAACACAAUAUAUGAAAACUGUUAUUCACUAAUUCUGAAUAAAGUUGAGUCUAGUAAUGAAAAUUAUCUUGACAUAAAAAGAUUGAAGGCUGAAGAAAUCAAUUUAUGUUGGUAAUUUAAAUAAUUUAUGCGCUUCAAAUUUAUCUUAUAAACAUGCAAUAAAUUAUGAUUGCAUAGAAAUGUUUGUAUAUAUGACUGAAAUCUAUGCUUAUGUAUGCUAUAAGUUGUCAAAAAUCAAAUACAUAAAACUUUUGUGAAUAACCCCAGU